UCUGUCAGGGUUUUGGGCUGCUCUCCUCCACCGUAUUUGAUGUUCUUCAGUUUGGAGUGAACCACCAGGAAGUGGAUGUACAUCUCAGUCAGGGUCUUGGGCAGCUCUCCUCCCUCUCUGGUCUUCAACAUGUCCUCCAGAACUGUAGCAGUGAUCCAGCAGAAGACUGGGAUGUGGCACAUGAUGUGGAUGCUUCGUGAUGUCUUGAUGUGGGAGAUGAUUCUGCUUGACUGCUUCUUGUCUCUGUAUCUAUUACUGAAGUAUUCCUCCUUCUGUUGGUCAGUGAACCCUCUGACCUCUGUCACCAUGUCAAAACACUCAGGAGGGA